rnacentral:rRNA from 1 species
UACGAAGGGUGCAAGCGUUAAUCGGAAUUACUGGGCGUAAAGGGUGCGUAGGCGGUUCGUUAAGUCUGUCGUGAAAGCCCCGGGCUCAACCUGGGAACUGCGUUUGGUACUGGCAAGCUAGAGUACGGCAGAGGGGGGUGGAAUUCCACGUGUAGCAGUGAAAUGCGUAGAGAUGUGGAGGAACACCGAUGGCGAAGGCAGCCCCCUGGGCCGAUACUGACGCUCAUGCACGAAAGCGUGGGGAGCAAACAGG